rnacentral:rRNA from 1 species
UACGAAGGGGGCUAGCGUUGCUCGGAAUCACUGGGCGUAAAGCGCACGUAGGCGGCUUUUUAAGUCGGGGGUGAAAUCCUGGAGCUCAACUCCAGAACUGCCUUCGAUACUGGCGAUCUCGAGUUCGGGAGAGGUGAGUGGAACUGCGAGUGUAGAGGUGAAAUUCGUAGAUAUUCGCAAGAACACCAGUGGCGAAGGCGGCUCACUGGCCCGAUACUGACGCUGAGGUGCGAAAGCGUGGGGAGCAAACAGGG